rnacentral:snRNA from 1 species
AAGGCCCGAAUCGUGCUUGCUUCGGCAGCAAUGCAGAGAAGAUGAGCAUGGUCCCUGUGCAAGGAUGACACGCAAAUUCGUGAAGCAUUCCAUAUUUUU